rnacentral:rRNA from 1 species
AGUGAACGCUGGCGGUAGGCCUAACACAUGCAAGUCGAACGGCAGCACAGGAGAGCUUGCUCUCUGGGUGGCGAGUGGCGGACGGGUGAGGAAUACAUCGGAAUCUACCCUGUCGUGGGGGAUAACGUAGGGAAACUUACGCUAAUACCGCAUACGACCUACGGGUGAAAGCAGGGGAUCUUCGGACCUUGCGCGAUUGAAUGAGCCGAUGUCGGAUUAGCUAGUUAGCGGGGUAAAGGCCCACCAAGGCGACGAUCCGUAGCUGGUCUGAGAGGAUGAUCAGCCACACUGGAACUGAGACACGGUCCAGACUCCUACGGGAGGCAGCAGUGGGGAAUAUUGGACAAUGGGCGCAAGCCUGAUCCAGCCAUACCGCGUGGGUGAAGAAGGCCUUCGGGUUGUAAAGCCCUUUUGUUGGGAAAGAAAUCCAGCUGGCUAAUACCCGGUUGGGUUGACGGUACCCAAAGAAUAAGCACCGGCUAACUUCGUGCCAGCCGCCGCGGUAA